ACGCUCGACACCUACGUGAGGCAGCAGUAGGGAAUCUUCCGCAAUGGACGAAAGUCUGACGGAGCAACGCCGCGUGAACGAUGAAGGUUUUCGGAUCGUAAAGUUCUGUUGUUAGGGAAGAACAAACUUCGUUUGAAUAAGGCGGAGUCAUGACGGUACCUAACGAGAAAGCCACGGCUAACUACGUGCCAGCAGCCGCGGUAAUCUGAGCGGGCUGGCAAGGC
rnacentral:rRNA from 1 species